UACAGAGGGUGCGAGCGUUGUUCGGAAUUAUUGGGCGUAAAGGGUGCGUAGGCGGUGCCACAAGUCACUUGUGAAAUCCCCGGGCUUAACUCGGGGCCUGCAGGCGAAACUGUGGUGCUGGAGUAUGGGAGAGGUGCGUGGAAUUCCCGGUGUAGCGGUGAAAUGCGUAGAUAUCGGAAGGAACACCUGUGGCGAAAGCGGCGCACUGGACCAUAACUGACGCUGAGGCGCGAAAGCUAGGGGAGCAAACAGG
rnacentral:rRNA from 1 species